UAUCCAAAACCAAAUUCUCAACGGUGGAUAUCUUGGUUCCCAUAACGAUGAAGAACGCAGCGAAGUGCGAUAAGCAAUGCGAAUUGCAGAACCGUGAGUCAUCAGAUUUUUGAACGCAACUGGCGCCGACUGGCUCUCUAGUCGGCAUGCUUGUUUCAGUGUCUUGUUUUCUCCUCACCCAAAUCAUAAUGCAAGAGAUACCCUUCUCUUGUUAAAUACGAAAGUACUCUGUACCCUGCAAGUGAGACUGAUUCGUUCGGUUUCACACUCAAUGCAGCAGUCACAUUUUCCAAUGUGAACUCAUUGAGAGUAGAGACAGCCAGCUUUGCUGAAAGUACUUAGAGAAUUAAACUUUUAUUGCAUCUGAAAUCAAGCAGGACCACCCGCUGAACUUAAGCAUAUCAUUAAGCGGAGGAAAAGAAAUUAACUAAGAUUGCCCUAGUAACGGCGAGUGAAGCGGCAAAAGCCCAAGCUGGAAAUCUUCACACUGCGUGUGACGAAUUGUAAUCUAAAGGAGAAGUGCUUACCUGUGAGUGGCGCAGAAGUUCCCUGGAAUGGGACGCCAGAGAGGGUGACAGUCCCGUAUGUGGUGCCACUCGCUACCGAGCACUCUUCAAUGAGUCGGGUAGUUUUGUAUUACUGCCCUAAGUGGGAGAUAGACUUCUUCCAAGGCUAAAUAUAUAUGGGAAACCGAUAGCGAACAAGUACUGUGAAGGAAAGAUGAAAAGAACUUUGAAAAGAGAGUCAAAAGACUUGAAAUCGUUGAGAAGGAAGCUGUAGAAAUUUAUUCUUCGGCUGGGGCCUAGUGUGGUUGUCUAAGCAUUGUACGCUGUUAGCACCGCAAGGGCUACUGUGUGCACCUGUGGAAACGUCCGCUUUGGUCCCAGUUGUGAGGCAAAAUGGGGUCUGGCUCCCACAAAAGUGGUUUAUCAGCCUUCGGGAGGUUAGGCUUACUGGUGGGGGCUGGGCCUGAGGGGCUUUUGCGAUUUUGCCAAAAUGGUUUUUACAGACCCGUCUUGAAACACGGACCAAGGAGUCUAACAAAUGUGCGAGUGUGCUGGUGGAGAAACCAACACGCGUAAUGAAAGUGAUUGAUGCCAAGCGCAAGCAGCAGCAUCGACCGACCAUGAUCCUUGUGUGAAAGGUUUGAGUAAGAGCAUAUCUGUUAGGACCCGAAAGAUGGUGAACUAUGCCUGAGUAGGGUGAAGCCAGGGGAAACUCUGGUGGAGGCUCGUAGCGUUUCUAACGUGCAAAUUGAUCGUCAAACUUGGGUAUAGGGGCGAAAGACUAAUCGAACCAUCUAGUAGCUGGUUCCCUCCGAAGUUUCCCUUAGGAUAGCUGGGACAAUUAUGCAGUUUUAUCAGGUAAAGCGAAUGAUUAGAGGCCUCGGGGGUAAAAUGCCCUCGACCUAUUCUCAAACUCUAAAUUGGUAAGAACUCUGGCCUUGCUUAAUUGAGGCACAGAGGUUCAAUGCAUGUCCCAAGUGGGCCAUUUUUGGUAAGCAGAACU
rnacentral:rRNA from 1 species